rnacentral:rRNA from 2 species
UGACCUCGAAUCAGGUAGGAAUACCCGCUGAACUUAAGCAUAUCAAUA